UUGUAUUACGAAUCUGUGUGCUUUCCCCUGCUUUCCUCUGCUUUAUAUUACUUAUGGGUGCCGUAUUUAUGUUAUGUAAUCUGCUUCUGUGCUGCACUAUGUGUUUGUGUGGUAUCUCGUGCCUUGAGCCGGGGAUCUAUCGGAAACAGCCUUUCUACUUCAUUAGAGGUAGAGGUAUGGACUGCGUACAUCUUACCCCCCC
rnacentral:lncRNA from 1 species